GUAGCCGUGGCCUACUGGUUAGGGCUUCCGGCUUAAAACCAAAGGGUUGUUAGUUCGAUCCCUGACCAGUAGGA
rnacentral:tRNA from 1 species